GUUGGAUGAAGCAAGAGUAUGAACUUUCUAAAAUGAAUAUGAUGAAGUUAAAAACUAAAGUAAUUAAUUUAAAUGAAAAAUGAAAAACAAAGUAUUUCCAGAGUUAGUCUUAAAUAAAGUAUUAAAUGCACUUUGUUUUUAAAGAAUUAAAAAUAAUUAACUUGCACCAAAAAAUCAGUGACUAACUGUGGCGCACUUCCAUGACUGCACCUGAAGUGAUGGCUAAAUCUGUUCUUGAGUGGGAUGAAUUUCACCAGGGUGAGGUUUGGACAUGUUGGAGGCUGAUGCAAGUCAGACUCUGACUGAAUAUCAAUUAAAUUCCUAAUCUUUUCAUGUCUCACGAUAACUUUACCUGAAUAGGUACUGAAGAAAAGUGGAAUAAAUGAAUAUUCUUAAAACAUAAUAUAAACAUCAAAAAGUUAAAACAAAAAUUAACAAU
rnacentral:lncRNA from 1 species